rnacentral:rRNA from 1 species
GUGGCGAACGGGUGAGUAACACGUGAGUAACCUGCCCUGGACUCUGGGAUAACCCCGAGAAAUCGGAGCUAAUACCGGAUAGGACCCUGGACCGCAUGGUUUGGGGUGGAAAGUUUUUCGGUCUGGGAUGGACUCGCGGCCUAUCAGCUUGUUGGUGAGGUAAUGGCUCACCAAGGCGUCGACGGGUAGCCGGCCUGAGAGGGUGACCGGCCACACUGGGACUGAGACACGGCCCAGACUCCUACGGGAGGCAGCAGUGGGGAAUAUUGCACAAUGGGCGCAAGCCUGAUGCAGCAACGCCGCGUGCGGGAUGACGGCCUUCGGGUUGUAAACCGCUUUUAGUAAGGAAGAAGGGGAGCUUGCUCCUUGACGGUACUUGCAGAAAAAGGACCGGCUAACUACGUGCCAGCAGCCGCGGUAAUACGUAGGGUCCGAGCGUUGUCCGGAAUUAUUGGGCGUAAAGAGCUCGUAGGCGGUUUGUCGCGUCUGCUGUGAAAUCCCGAGGCUCAACCUCGGGCCUGCAGUGGGUACGGGCAGACUGGAGUGCGGUAGGGGAGAAUGGAAUUCCUGGUGUAGCGGUGGAAUGCGCAGAUAUCAGGAGGAACACCGAUGGCGAAGGCAGUUCUCUGGGCCGUAACUGACGCUGAGGAGCGAAAGCGUGGGGAGCGAACAGGAUUAGAUACCCUGGUAGUCCACGCCGUAAACGUUGGGCGCUAGAUGUGGGGACCUUUCCACGGUUUCCGUGUCGUAGCUAACGCAUUAAGCGCCCCGCCUGGGGAGUACGGCCGCAAGGCUAAAACUCAAAGGAAUUGACGGGGGCCCGCACAAGCGGCGGAGCAUGCGGAUUAAUUCGAUGCAACGCGAAGAACCUUACCAAGGCUUGACAUAACCGGGAACGCGCUAGAGAUAGCGAACUCUUUGGACACUCGGUUACAGGUGGUGCAUGGUUGUCGUCAGCUCGUGUCGUGAGAUGUUGGGUUAAGUCCCGCAACGAGCGCAACCCUCGUCGUAUGUUGCCAGCACGUAAUGGUGGGAACUCAUAUGAGACUGCCGGGGUCAACUCGGAGGAAGGUGGGGAUGACGUCAAAUCAUCAUGCCCCUUAUGUCUUGGGCUUCACGCAUGCUACAAUGGCCGGUACAAAGGGCUGCGAUGUCGUAAGGCGGAGCGAAUCCCAAAAAGCCGGUCUCAGUUCGGAUUGAGGUCUGCAACUCGACCUCAUGAAGUCGGAGUCGCUAGUAAUCGCAGAUCAGCAACGCUGCGGUGAAUACGUUCCCGGGCCUUGUACACACCGCCCGUCAAGUCAUGAAAGUCGGUAACACCCGAAGCCGGUGGCC